rnacentral:lncRNA from 1 species
AUGUGGGGAAUUGCAGCUGGUUUCUGCUACCCUGAGACAGGGGGACAACAGCAUCUCCUCUGUGGGCACCAGGUGGGUGCUGAGCAUCCCUUUGUCCCACUGCUGCCAAGGCUGUUGCCUCUGGAAACCACCUCUGCCUCCUCCCCUGUCAACAUCCCUGUAGUUGCCAUGGUGGUGUUGGAGCUGGGUGGGAAGCCCUGCUGCUUCUGCAGGAGAGCCACAGCCUGGCUGGCUGAGAGGAUCCAAUGUAAGGAGAUGUCUCCCACCAUCAAGCAGAGGCUGGCCAGCACUCAGGAGAUGAAUCUGCCCGAGGUUGUCCAGCUUCAAGACAAGAGCAAGACCUCCAUCACAAGGUAGCCUUUCCCUGCCCUUUUCCUUGCUGUUUGAUGUGAUAUUUGAAGAGGAUGUGUGCUUGUGGCAGGCUUCCCUCCAGCUCAUCAAAAUACCUCAGUGUCCAGGUCCUGCUGUCAUUUCAAACUGCUGGUGGAGUUCCUUCAGCUGGGAGAAAGGCAAGUGAGACACAAGUCCCAAUUUGUGCUAAGUCAACACAAAUAACCUCUGCUGAAUCUGGUGGGGUUUGCUGGAGUGUAACUGCCAUCCCUAAUGAGAGAAGGCUGGGGCAGGACACAAGGGAAUGAGCUUGCCAUUUUCCAUUCUUCUGCUGGAAGAGCCACCUCUUGCUUUGGUGUGGUCACUGUCAAAUGCUUAGGGUUA